rnacentral:misc_RNA from 1 species
AACUUUUGGCAAUGGAUCUCUUGGUUCUCACAUCGAUGAAGAACGCAGCGAAUUGCGAUAUGUAAUGUGAAUUGCAGAAUUCAGUGAAUCAUCGAAUCUUUGAACGCACCUUGCACCCUUUGGUAUUCCGAAGGGUAUGCCUGUUUGAGUGUCAUUAAUAUCUCAACUUCAAAAAUGUUUAUUGUUUUUGAAGCUUGGACUUUGGAGGUUGCAGGCAAUUAACAUUGUCAGCUCCUCUUAAAUGCAUUAGCGGAACUUUGUUAAGGACCAGCUUUGGUUUGAUAAAUCCUAUCUAUGCCGUCGCUGUGGACUUUGUGUUAUGUUCAGCUUCUAAUGGUCUUCGGACUGUCUCGUUAUUGAGGCAUACACUUUAAGCUUGACCUCAAAUCAGGUAGGACUACCCGCUGAACUUAAGCAUAUCAAUAAGCGGAGGCU